CCUGAAGUAUGUUUUGUUUUGCUAUUAAAAAAAGUUGUCACUCCCACCCAACGGCAAAUGCUAAACGUAAUUCACUUACACAAACAAAACUGAAGUGUUGUGAAUGACUUCACUUACAAGAAACACAGUCAAAUUCAGGACAUGAACUAACCAUAGUAACUUAGAAUCGUAGAAUCCCCGGGUUCGAAGAAUCCUCCAAGAUCAUCCAGUUCAACUGCCCGCCUAUCAACAGUAUUUCCCAUUAAACCAUGUCCCUCAGUACAACAUGAAAUGUUUUUUGAGCACCUAACUUGGUUUGUUUUGAAGUUUAGAAGAUUAACUCGUCUGUAUUGCUGGAGCAUUCUCUGUGACUGCUGGAACGGUGAAGAUAAUGUGGAAAGGAAAAGAGACCAGAUGUUGAAUAAAUACAAUUGCAUUCUGUUGCUGUUAUUUUCCUCUGCAGCUCAAUAAGACGAGCAGAUUCUUUACUCUUAAGAUUCUUCAGCAGUAAAAAGUAAAUGUAUGAUACCAGACUCACUUCUCUAUUUUGUUUUGUCUUUAAUGCUCAGGAUUGUGUUGAAGGUUCGGUUUCUGCUACAAAGCAGAGAACAGGCUCCAUUGGAGAUCGCCCAGCAAGACCGACUCUUUUAGAACAAGUAUUGAAUAAAAAGAGACUGUCCCUGCUCAGAAGUCCAGAAGUAGUGCAGUUUCUACAGAAACAACAGCAGCUGUUAAGUCAGCAGGCUUUGGAACAACGGCAGCAGCAGUUUCAAGGAGCACCUGGGUAAUGAGAACAGAUCAUGACCUGCAGAUGAGUCUGGUACUGAAGAAGGAAUAGGAUGUAUAUUUUCUUCAAAUAUAAAAAAUGUAAAUGUUUAAAGGAAAAGUAAAGCUGCUGUCAUGUAUUUUACUUGGUUCUUGUUUGCACUUUGACAUUUUGAGCUGCUUGGGUGUCUGCAAACUUGUGAGCAAAUCUGGAGGAGUAUUUUUUGAUUCUUUUUAAAACUUAGUUUGAUUUUUCUUUUUAAUGGAAAUUUGUGUCAGUAAUGUUUAGCUGUACACCCUUUUCCUACCAAAGUCUUCCACUAAAUUAACAUUUUUCUAUAUGAAGAUUUACUGUUAAACAAGUCACUCUUUGAUGACAAUCAUUGAAGGAAGUCAGUUACUUUCUAUGGAAGUUGUGAAAUAAAGUCCAAUUUGAGCCAGUCCUGUGGCAUGACUUAACAGCAAUUCCUCAGGGAUAUGAGAAGCUUAUAUCCAGUAUAAUCUUGCACUAAAGGUUAAAGACAACAUGCCAUCAAGAAGUCAACCAGUGGCUCAGAAAAGCGUAAAUCAGGUGAUCCUCCUGCUUUGUAUUCAUUAUAUGCAAGUUGAGUAGGUUUGAAAUGCUUCACUGUCUGCGCAAAGCAUGUAAAGGAAUAUGUGUUCAAAAUCUCCAAAUGAGAGAACUAGAAAAGUGCUUUGGAGAAGAGUUAGAGAUGAAAUGUAUGAGGUAGAGAGUUGGAUCUUGUUUUGUGAAGUUAUUUUGGAGGACCAGCUUGUAACACAUCCUCGUUUGUGAGUGAGUAAGUUAAAGCUUUUAACUCAAAUGCUAAAGGUUUUUAACAGCAAAUGCCUCCAAAAUGUCCAACGGGACAAAUUGUGCAUUUGUUGUCCUUUCUCUUCCAAAAAAGUUUAGUUAAAAUUAUGUUAGUAAGACAACUGAUAGCUAAUCAGCUCAAGUGCUGGACUUCUCAGGUUUUCAGCCAAUUCAGACAAACUUGCAGUUGAUUUGGUUAAGAAUCCAAACACCUUAUUUAAGAAAUGAAUCCCAAGUUUUGUAUUAAACCUUAUUUCCUAGUUGAAGCUAUCUGAAUGGUGGAGGUGCUUAUUGAAGUGCUACUUUGAUACUGCAGCAGUUUGAUCCGCUGAAUAUUACCUGUUCAGAAGUGUUUGUCAGUCUUAUGGGUUUUUCUAAGCUGUGCUUUUUGUAUGUAUAAAAACUGUUCAGUAGGGAUUUUUGUAUUCAGCGUUGUGUAAGUUGUUCUCUUAAAAAAAAAAGAAAAAAAUCCAAAAAUUUUGUACCAGCAGUUCUGGACCAAUAAGUGUUUGAGUAAAUCUAUGUGCUUUUUUAUUUUAUUUCUUUUGUUUGUUGUUGUUUGGUUACAUUUGUAUGUUGCUUUGUGUUUAUUUUCUGUAUUAAAAUGGCUAGCUCUGGCUAGGUGAUGUGAAAACUGUUGCGUUCCCACUCUAAGGUUAUUUUAGCAUGUUUGUGAAAAUGUAUAAUUUCAGCCCAUUACAAGGAAGCACUUGUUCUGUUGUUUUAGAUGGGCAUCUUAGGAAAGCAUUUAGGCCAACAGCUCUGUCUGGAUGCUUCUAAAAAAUGAAGUAAUCCCAGGUACCCAACUUGGCCUUUGCCAGUUUCACUGAUAGUUAUUUUUCCUGUGCUGUUUUCCCAUUUCUGGUUUUAUCACAUUAUUUGCUGUUGUUAAAUUCUCGAGGAAUUUGUUUCAAUUAUUUCUCAAGGAAGAUACGAUGUAAAACAUAUUCUAAAAGCAUUUGCUUUUACUGGAAUAAGAGUGAUUGUAAUGAAAUGAUUUCAGAAAUUUUAGUUGGUGGUGUCCCUCUGCUGCAUCUAUUCAAACCAAUUAAUUCUUCAUUAUAUUAUAUUCAUUGUACCACAUAUGUUGUAUUUUUGGAGACACUGCACUCUCAACUUUAAAAAUAUUUCUGCAUAUA